CCCUGACAUUGAACUGGUCUCUGAAACGAUGUUGGCUGCUGAAGGGUUUAUUGAUGCCUGUCUGUUAGCCAGGAAGUUCAUCACCUUGUAACCUCUCUGCAGGGAGCUGCUCCCUGAACAGAGUAACUGGUGUCAUGGAAGAGGAUAGAGGAAUGGCAGCUGUUGACUUAAAAUGGGCUGUUAUGACUGGGGAACUCAUGCUAUCAAGUCAGCUUUGGUGAUUGCAGGGUCCCUGAAACAAGGAGAGAAGAACAGACCUGAG